GCUAAACCAUUCGUAGACGACCUGCUUCUGGGUCAGGGUUUCCUACGUAGCAGAGCAGCUCCCUCGCUGCGAUCUAUUGAAAGUCAGCCCUCGACACAAGGGUUU
rnacentral:ncRNA from 1 species